rnacentral:rRNA from 1 species
GAUGAACGCUGGCGGCGUGCCUAAUACAUGCAAGUCGAGCGAACAGACGAGGAGCUUGCUCCUCUGACGUUAGCGGCGGACGGGUGAGUAACACGUGGAUAACCUACCUAUAAGACUGGGAUAACUUCGGGAAACCGGAGCUAAUACCGGAUAAUAUAUUGAACCGCAUGGUUCAAUAGUGAAAGACGGUUUUGCUGUCACUUAUAGAUGGAUCCGCGCCGCAUUAGCUAGUUGGUAAGGUAACGGCUUACCAAGGCAACGAUGCGUAGCCGACCUGAGAGGGUGAUCGGCCACACUGGAACUGAGACACGGUCCAGACUCCUACGGGAGGCAGCAGUAGGGAAUCUUCCGCAAUGGGCGAAAGCCUGACGGAGCAACGCCGCGUGAAUGAUGAAGGUCUUCGGAUCGUAAAACUCUGUUAUUAGGGAAGAACAAAUGUGUAAGUAACUAUGCACGUCUUGACAGUACCUAAUCAGAAAGCCACGGCUAACUACGUG